AGUCAGUUCCUCACAAUCGAUCUCCCAGAAAUCGGUCUUCCAGAAGACUCUUCCUCACUUACGGCCUCUCAGCUUGCUCCUAGCCUUGACGAUCUUCUCCUUACUGCUCGCUAGCUCCUCUUCGCUUCAGGACCCCUAGAUCGCCAACGCCGAGCGCAGAUUGAAGGAUCUUUGAGCUCUUCGAGGAAAAGUAGAAAGGGUGAGGCUAGCAAAUUGAAGUCCAGCAAAGGUGCAGAAAGGAGUCCUGAUCAACAUCUCCAUUCACUCAAGGCUGACCAAAGGCAAUUGAAUUUUGAUACAACGAUGUUGAGGCAGUGACUAUCAGGCAGGGUGAUGUUUUGUCUCUGUAAGG